GAUAAACGCUGGCGGCGUGCCUAAUACAUGCAAGUCGAGCGAAUGGAUUAAGAGCUUGCUCUUAUGAAGUUAGCGGCGGACGGGUGAGUAACACGUGGGUAACCUGCCCAUAAGACUGGGAUAACUCCGGGAAACCGGGGCUAAUACCGGAUAACGUUUUGAACCGCAUGGUUCGAAAUUGAAAGGCGGCUUCGGCUGUCACUUAUGGAUGGACCCGCGUCGCAUUAGCUAGUUGGUGAGGUAACGGCUCACCAAGGCAACGAUGCGUAGCCGACCUGGUAGGGGCAUCGGCCAGCCUGUGACUGAGACACGACCGAGACUCCUACGGGAGGCAGCAGUAGGGAAUCUUCCGCGAUGGACGAAAGUCUGACGGAGCAACGCCGCGUGAGUGAUGAAGGCUUUCGGGUCGUAAAACUCUGUUGUUAGUGAAGAACAAGUGCUAGUUGAAUAAGCUGGCACCUUGACGGUACCUAACCAGAAAGCCACGGCUAACUACGUGCCAGCCGCCGCAGUAA
rnacentral:rRNA from 1 species